AAGGUUUCCGUAGGUGAACCUGCGGAAGGAUCAUUAUUGAAUGAACUUGGUGUGGUUGUCGCUGGCCCUCUUGGGGGCAUGUGCACMCCUACCAUCCUCAUCUCUCCACCUGUGCACCUCUUGUAGAUUUGGAAUUGAUUAUCCGAGGCAACUCGGUCGUGAGGACUGCUAGCACUUAGCUGGCUUUCUUUGCAAUUCCAGGUCUAUGUUUUUCAUAUACCCCAUUGUAUGUAACAGAAUGUAUCAUUGGGCCUUGUGCCUAUAAACCUUAUACAACUUUCAGCAACGGAUCUCUUGGCUCUCGCAUCGAUGAAGAACGCAGCGAAAUGCGAUAAGUAAUGUGAAUUGCAGAAUUCAGUGAAUCAUCGAAUCUUUGAACGCACCUUGCGCUCCUUGGUAUUCCGAGGAGCAUGCCUGUUUGAGUGUCAUUAAAUUCUCAACCAUUAUCAACUUUUGCUGAYAAUGGCUUGGAUGUGGGGGUCUAUUUUGCUGGCUUCUCAGAUAGUCAGCUCCCCUUAAAUGCAUUAGCCGGUGCCCCGCGUGGACUGUCUAUUGGUGUGAUAAUUAUCUACGCUAUAGACAUCUGCAAUCAUAUGGGUUUGCGCUGCUUCUAACAGUCUGUUGAUUCAGACAAUACAUGACAAUUUGACCUCAAAUCAGGUAGGACUACCCGCUGAACUUAA
rnacentral:rRNA from 1 species